CCAUGCCGCGUGCAGGAAGAAGGCCUUCUGGGUCGUAAACUGCUUUUGCCGGGGGAUAAAAUAGCCUUGCGAGGUUAAUUGAAGGUACCCGGUGAAUAAGCCACGGCUAACUACGUGCCAGCAGCCGCGGUAAUACGUAGGUGGCAAGCGUUGUCCGGAUUUAUUGGGUUUAAAGGGUGCGUAGGCGGCCCCAUAAGUCAGUGCUGAAAUACUCUAGCUUAACUAGAGGGGUGGCAUUGAUACUGCGGGGGCUUGAGUGUAGUCGAGGUAGGCGGAAUUGACGGUGUAGCGGUGAAAUGCUUAGAUAUCGUCAAGAACACCGAUAGUGUAGACAGCUUACUAGGUUACAACUGACGCUGAGGCACGAAAGUGUGGGGAUCAAACAGGAUUAGAUACCCUGGUAGUCCACACUGUAAACGUUGAUUACUCGCUGUUGGCGAUAUACAGUCAGCGGCUUAGCGCAAGCGAUAAGUAAUCCACCUGGGGAGUACGCCGGCAACGGUG
rnacentral:rRNA from 1 species